AUACGGAGGGUGCAAGCGUUAAUCGGAAUUACUGGGCGUAAAGCGCGCGUAGGCGGAUUGUUAAGUCUCAUGUGAAAGCCCUGGGCUCAACCUGGGAACUGCAUGGGAUACUGGCAAUCUAGAAUACAGUAGAGGGUAGUGGAAUUUCAGGUGUAGCGGUGAAAUGCGUAGAGAUCUGAAGGAACAUCAGUGGCGAAGGCGACUACCUGGACUGAUAUUGACGCUGAGGUGCGAAAGCGUGGGGAGCAAACGGGAUUAGAUACCCUAGUAGUCC
rnacentral:rRNA from 1 species